GACGAACGCUGGCGGCAUGCCUAAUACAUGCAAGUCGAGCGAACAGAUGAAGUGCUUGCACUUCUGACGUUAGCGGCGAACGGGUGAGUAACACGUAAGGAAUCUACCUAUAAGCGGGGGAUAACAUUCGGAAACGGGUGCUAAUACCGCAUAAUAUCUUCUUCCGCAUAGAAGAAGAUUGAAAGACGGCUCUGCUGUCACUUAUAGAUGACCUUGCGGUGCAUUAGUUAGUUGGUGGGGUAACGGCCUACCAAGACGAUGAUGCAUAGCCGACCUGGGAGGGUGAUCGGCAACAUUGGGACUGAGACACGGCCCAAACUCCUACGGGAGGCAGCAGUAGGGAAUCUUCCGCAAUGGGCGAAAGCCUGACGGAGCAAUGCCGCGUGAGUGAAGAAGGCCUUCGGGUCGUAAAACUCUGUUAUAAGAGAAGAACAAAUUGUAGAGUAACUGCUACAGUCUUGACGGUAUCUUAUCAGAAAGCCACGGCUAACUACGUGCCAGCCGCCGCGGUAA
rnacentral:rRNA from 1 species